ensembl:ncRNA C30A5.15 ncRNA
UCCUGGACCAUCAAAAUAGUAUGUAAAUUAAAGAGAGUUUAGACAUACGACAGAAGGCCGAAGCACUGAAAUAUUCAUCAACCUGUGUGAGGAUGGAUGCGUGUGUAGGACGAAAAAGAAGAAGAGGCUGUGUGUGUGUGAGAGCAGAAACGACGAAACGAUUACGGUAGUUUGUGUUUGAACAUCGUUAACUGG